AUGUCACCUGUGGGGCCACCGCGCUGGGGACAGAGGGGACACAGAAGGGACAGGGAGGGGACAGAGCCACUGUGUGACCGCCGGGUCAGCGCUGUCCCCAGGGCCACCCCUGAUGUCACCUGUGCCACCCCAGUGUUCCCAGGGCCACCCUGGUGGCACUCACCACUGUCCCCAGUGUCCACAAUGCCAGACCCCCAGUGUCCCCAGUGCCACCCUGAUGUCACCUGUGCCACCCCCAGUGCCCCCAGUGUCACUCACCCGCUGUCCCCAGAGCCACCCCCCAACGUCCCCAGGGCCCCAAUGAUCCCAGGGCACCCCUGGUGUCCCCUGGGUCACCCUGAUGUCCCCAGUGCCACCCCCUGGUGUCACUCACCCGCUGUCCCCCGCUGUCCCCUCUGGCUCCCACUGCCAUCGGAGCCGCCCCGAGGCCACCAGCACUGGGGACAGAGGGGACACUGGGACAGGGACGGCGGGUACAGCCACCACACUGUCCUCACAGUGUCCCCAGCCUCUCCUAAGGUGUCCCAAAGUGUCCCCAAGGAAUUCCAGGAAUGUCCCAACACCCCAAAGUGUCCCCAAAGUGUCCCCAACCCCCCAAACCAUUCCCAGUGUCCCCAACAGGCCCAAAGUGUCCCCAGUGUCCCCCCAAUGUCCCCAAACUGUCCCAAAUGUCCCAAGAAUGUCCCCAACUCCCCCAACGUGUCCUCAAGGUGUCCCCAACCCUUUUCAGGUGUCACCAGGUGUCCCAGAUUCUCUUUGAACACCUCCAAAGUGUCCCCAAAGUGUCUCCACCACCUGCAAUGUCCCCAGUGUGUCCCCCAAAUCCCCCAAAAGUGUCCCCAGUCCUCCCCCAAUGCCUCCAAAGUGUCCCCAAGGUGUCCCCACCCCCCCCGACUGCCCCCAGACUAUCCCCAGAGUGUCCCCAGUCCUGACAAAGUGUCCCCAAGUGUGCCCAGGUGUCCCCAAAGUGUCCCCAGUCCUCCCACAAAGCCUCCAAAGUGUCCCUGCAGUGUCCCAAGUGUCCCUGCAGUGUCCCUCAGUGUCCCCACAGUGUCCCCGCAGUGUCCCCGCAGUGUCCCUCAGUGUCCCCACAGUGUCCCCGCAGUGUCCCUCAGUGUCCCCACAGUGUCCCCGCAGUGUCCCCGCAGUGUCCCUGCAGUGUCCCCAGUGUCACUGACCCCGCAGUUGGUGCUGGGCCUGUCCCAGGCGCUCACUGAGGGUCCCCAGGGCCCCGAUGGCCAUGGUGACAUCGGCCAGGGCCACACCCAGUGUUCCCAGCAGCCUGGGGACAGCAAUGGGGACAGACCAGUACAAACCAGUACAAACCAGUAA
rnacentral:lncRNA from 1 species